rnacentral:rRNA from 1 species
GACGAACGCUGGCGGCGUGCUUAACACAUGCAAGUCGAACGGUGAACCAGAGCUUGCUCUGGGGAUCAGUGGCGAACGGGUGAGUAGCACGUGGGCAACCUGCCCAGACUCUGGGAUAACCUCGGGAAACCGAUGCUAAUACCGGAUACGACCACUUCGGACAUCCGACGGUGGUGGAAAGUUUUUCGGUCUGGGAUGGGCCCGCGGCCUAUCAGCUAGUUGGUGGGGUAAUGGCCUACCAAGGCGACGACGGGUAGCCGGCCUGAGAGGGCGACUGGCCACACUGGAACUGAGACACGGUCCAGACUCCUACGGGAGGCAGCAGUGGGGAAUAUUGCACAAUGGGCGAAAGCCUGAUGCAGCGACGCCGCGUGAGGGACGACGGCCUUCGGUU